rnacentral:rRNA from 1 species
CCCCUAGAUGUUCUGGGCCGCACGCGCGCUACACUGAACAGUUCAACAAGUCUUAACCUUGGCCGAUAGGUCUGGGUAAUCUUUGAACGCUGUUCGUGAUUGGGAUAGACCUUUGCAAUUAUGGGUCUUCAACGAGGAAUUCCUAGUAAACGCAAGUCAUCAUCUUGCAUUGAUUACGUCCCUGCCCUUUGUACACACCGCCCGUCGCACCUACCGAUUGAAUGGUCCGGUGAAAUCUCGGGACGGCGGCUUGGUCGCUUGCGUCCGACUGCUGAAACUUGAUUAAACCAUAUCAUUUAGAGGAAGGUGAAGUCGUAACA